GUGUUUACAUCGGACAUUUUGCAGCUUAAUGGCGAAAUCAAGAAAAUGAAAGCUAAGCAAAAACGAGGGAGGAGGAAGAUGUUCGCAGUCUGCUCUUGCUGAGUACGGAAAUCAUGCAAUCUAAGUUGUUUUCUCGGUGGCGGUGGUUUUUCUUCGAACUCAGUUUGGCAGCUCGAUGAAUCGAUUGGUGUAGUAUCUUCUGGUUCGUUGGACAUGCAUGUUAUAUAAAAUUCAAC